UUGAGUCUCUCAGAUCGCUUGAUGAAGAGAUGAGACCUGAGCUCAAGCCGUCCCUCCCCCACCCCACAUUCGUGGUAGGAGGAUCCCGAGGAGGCAUGGGGGUAACAGCCUUGGUAUGUGUGGUGGUGGAGGGAGCCCGUGAUCUGCUCCCGUUCCAGCCCAAGAGUGAUUAAAGGGGAUCUGCCUGAGCCUUCGUUUAUGACCCUGCCGCCGCCCCCAGGAGUCUGGGACAGUCAAGGGCAAAGGGAACAGGAAGACGAACCCGGUUCUGCAGCGAGUCUUCUUGUGUGCUUCCCUACCUCCACACCUCAGCCUUCUGGAAGGAAGGGGGGCGCGCCCGUCCCGGGCCCUUCUCUUCCCCAGCCCAGCUGAGCCUCUGCCCUCCCCCUGCCAGCAGCAGAUGGUGCCCCGGCUCCCGCUGCCAACCUUGCUAGGCGGUGCCAACCUCAGGCCUGGCAGACAACGGGCAGAAGAGGAUCUCCUGGCUGACCAGGCUGACCCUCCCCCAUCCACCGUCAAGCUCAAGACCCUCCGCCGGCCCCAAUCCAGCGACCACCCCAGGCUGCCUCUCACUGGUCCGCCCCCAAGUCCCCAAACUCCUUGUCUCCUUCAGCUCCCUUCCCCACACCUUCCCGCUCCCCACCACCUGCCACCCUGACCAGGGCUGGUGUAUUUGCAUAUUUACAUAUGCAAAUAAUAAUAUUUGCAUACGGCGCGCCGCAGGGGGGUCUGCGCGUGAGCUGGUUAGCUGUCUGCCCCGCGCCCUCUCGCUCGGUACCUGUCGCAAAGGGCUGGGGUAAGGGCCGCGCGGGAGGGGUUAGGCCCCCCGGCCUCUCCGGCUCGGUUCCCCGAGGACUUGAGGAAGUGUUGCCAUGGAGACGGCACGCACCCCACCCCCUCCCAGGCCCAGGGUCUCGGGCUUGGUGUCUCUGGUUCUCUCCUCUCCCCCACUCCCGCCCCCAACCCGGUCCCUCGCUCUCCAACCGAGAUCUUGCAUCGCCCUCUGGCGGCCCAGCUCGGCAAUGAGCCAGGUUCCGAAACGUAAGUGGCUGCCCGCGGGUAUACGCCAGGAGCUAGAGGGACCUACCCCACUACUGGAUCCAGCUCCCAGGCGCAGGGGCGUGGGAACGGUGACCCCGGUCCGACUUCCCUUUCUUCACAACAGAGGCCUCCCCAGGAGGACGCAUCUGUCUCCCAUCUCCCACCAGCCUCAGCCCAGGGGCUCUUCUAUGUCUAAACCUGACCUGCUCUUUGGACCUCCAUCCCCUGUGCUACAGCUGAGGCCCUGAACCUACUCCAUCUCUAUGGAUGGAGGAUAGUGGAAACAAAACCAUGGUGCAACAGUGGCUGAAGAUCUAUGGGAGACGCGCCCCGACUCUGGGAGUACUCACCUGGUACCGUUCUGCUGAGCUGGCGGGAUCAUGCUGUAGUACACUGGAACGCCCCC